rnacentral:tRNA from 1 species
GGGGAGGUAGCUCAAUGGUAGAGCAGCGUUUUACUUUUCGCAGGAUGCAAACAAAGUUCCUUGAUUAAAUUUUUGGAUAAAUUAUUACUUUCCGCAUAAUGCAAAGCAAGUUCCUAAUUUUGGCUCAUAACCCGCUGGUUGCAGGUUCGACUCCUGGCUUCCCCA